rnacentral:lncRNA from 1 species
CGUCCUGGCAAAGAAAGGAGGUCAUUUCAGAUUUUUUAGGAGGACAGAAGAGGUGUGAAUGUGAAAGGGAGUAAAUUAUAAGACUCCAUAGGAUUGCUAGUCAUUACUGGAGGGCCCAGUUGAGGUUGAUGAUCACAAAUUCAUGUGAUCCACUGUUAAAAGGAUUAUAAAGUAUUUGGUCCUUUCUGGAGGUGUUCAGCUAUUUACUGAGCACAGAGAAAGUGGAGUCAUCUAGGCCUAUGAUUUUGUCAGAGAGAAAUAACAAAAAGACAGCAACAGCAAGGGAGCCAUUGAAAUGAUAAACCAGGAAUAUAAGCUGGUUAAGAAAAAAAAAAAAAGUUAAGAGAGGGAGAGAGUGGAGAUCUGUGUGAAGAGUGUAGUCAGAGUGGCUGAUUAAAUGUGACGGAAGAAUAGAAGUCAGGGGUCAGAACAGGAUGCUGUACCCUGGAAAAAUGACUUGAAUCUCAAAGUGUGGGGCCCAUAGAUGAUUUAAGGCUCACUGGUGAUUACAGUGUUUUUUUUAAAAAAGGAAUAUAACUAUGUAGUGGGGAAAAAAAACAAGAAUAUGUUGCAGUGAUUAUUAUUAAAUUCAUGAUGAUGAAAGACACCAGCGGUGUGAAAUCAAGAUGAAGACAUAAUUAGAGAAAGCAGUCAAAAAAUUGUGCCUUUAAUAUAAAACAAAACAGGAGUGCCCAUUGUAAUUCAGCAGGUUAAGAACCCGACAUAGUGUCCAUGAGGAUUCGGGUUUGAUCCCUUGCCUUGCUCAGUGGGUUAAGGAUCUGGUAUUGCCACAAGCUGCAGCGAGGUCACCAAUGCACCUCAGGUCUGGUGUUGUAGCUGUGGUGUAGGCCAGCAGCUGCAGCUCCAAUUUGACCCCUAGCCCAGGAACUUCCAUAUGUCACAAUGUCUGUUCUGAUCUUUCCUCUGCAUCUGUUGCUUGUCCAGCCACAAGCUCCUGUCUCCCUUCCCCUAGCACUCCAUUGACAUGUAUACUCAGACUGUCACACUUUGUGUCACCUGAGCUUCUCCUGGGCAUUGUCUUACUGCAACAGGUCUGCAUUCAGGACCAAAGUCUGUAGCAUCCCCAGCAGCCCCACUGCAGUGCCUUGCAGACAGUGAACACUCUGCUCUGUGAGUACUCAAGAAAAAUCAAAAUAAGGGACCUAAGGUGAAACCUCAUUCUGAUUUAUCAGUUUCGUCAAGGAAAGAAUUCUUCCUGAAUUUUUUUUUGUACAUGCAUAUCCUUUACAGUACCUAGCAAUGUGCUGUGCCAUAGUUGGCAUUAAGUAAUUAGUAAUUGAUGGAUUCAUUAUGAAUUUUAUAAAGUUUUUUGGAUGCAUUCAGACCAAAGAAGAAAUGAUGACACAAGUUUCAAAAGGUACCAUUAUUGUUGAUGCACUUUCUGAGGGCACUAUGGCAUCUUUUAAAGUCAAGCAACUAGAAAAAUGAAUCAGUCAUGAGUCAGAAUCAUUGAUGGAUUUAUGCCACCAUCAAGCUUUAAAGUAUUGGUGCUGACGUCAAUAAAAAAUUCUCUGUCCUGAGAGCACCCAUAGCCAGCUUUCUGUACUGAACCAACAGUGUGUGUUAUGCUGCUGGUGAAAAAAACCUGGUGGUCUAGUAAUCCUAGUGGUUUUUAAAAUUCAUUUAUAAACUUGACAUGACUGUGAAUUUCUGUUUCCUCCAAAAUCUUGUAUCUGAAGAUAUUCUUAAUUUCUCCUGACUUAAAUCACAGCAAAAGAGAAUCAGGUAAAUAUCAAGAGAGAUUACCUAUGAUAUCUGAUUUGAUUACCUAUGAUAUCAGUUCAAUCAACAUUGACUUUUAUGUCACACAUUAUGUUGAAUAAGUAUUGAAUUAAGCCUACAGGUUAAGCUCAGUGUGCUUUAGAUAAGGGAGCACAUUUUUGUUAGUUUGUUUUCAUGUAUUUUAAGGUCCUUAUUGAGAUAUAAUUGACAAAUAACAUUGUGUAAGUCUAAGGUAUACAUUGCGAUGAUCUGAUACAUAUAUACACAUUGCAAAAUGAUUACCAUACAAAUGUUAGUUAACAGGUCCAUCUCCUCACAGAGUUCCUUUUAUUUAUGUGUGGUGAGAACAUUUAAGAUCUGUUCUUAGCAGUAGAAUACGGUUAACCAUAGUCACCAUGCUGUACAUAGGUCUCUAGGACUUAUUCAUCUUAAUAAGAGAAAGUUUAUACCCUUUGAUAAAUAUAUCCCCAUUUCACCCAACUCCCAACCCUUGUUAGCCACAUUCUUUGUUUCUGUGAGUUCACCUUUUUCACUUUUGUAAGUGAGAUUUUCCAGUAUUUUUCAUUUACAAGAGAGACUCAUAACAGAGCAAUUGAAGCCAGAGCACUGAUAAGCAAAACAGCCACAAAUACCAACAAGCUCACCUUGGAUGGAAGCCAUAGUGGCCACAGGAGGCAGAACUGCCCAGGCCACCACACCCACUUUUGUCAGCUUCACACACAGGUGGGGCAGCAGAAGUUAGUUGAACUCUGCAAAUCUGUGUUCCAUACUGAGCACCUGCAUGAGCCAGGCCCCAGGGAUGGGAUGAAGAGCAGAUAGGGGCUAUGAGAGCACACUGCCAAGAGGCAUUUAAUUGCAUUCACCACUCACCCAGUGGGAGAGAUGGAGACAGCUGAGACUCACUGUCCUGGAAAGUCCCAGAAGGCUUCUCAGAAGAUAAGCCUUUUGAGCUGAUUCUUAAAAAGCCCACCGGGUAGAGAAAAAGGGAAGGGGGCAUCUUAAAGGGACAGUUCAUACUCGUGGAACUAUUAAAAAAAAUAUGGUGUGUUAGGGAAAUGGUAAGUGGUCUAAGCUGACCAGCCCUGAGGAUAUUUGAUAGGAGGGGAAGGGGAAGGAGGCUGGAAAAGGCAGUCGGAUUCAUACACUGCGUCAGGGAUCUUCGACUUUUGGGAGGCCCAGUGGUAGUGCACCAGAGUUUCUUAUGUAGGUAAGUGACAAGAUCAGAUUUGUAAUUUUAGAAAUAAACCCAUGAGUAAUCUUUCAGAUCCAUUCCUCCUGCCUUCACUAAUCAGGGUUGUUUUAAAACUUGCCUAUUCUCCAAGCAGCACUUAGCCUCAGCAUUAAGAUGUUUGCCAGAGUUAAUUUCCAAGAGCCGGGAGUCAGCUGGGUCUAGUUUGAGCUGAGCUGGUUAAGACUGGAUGGGAAAACCGACCCUCCCACUGGGCAUGCGCGAGUGUCCGCUCGGUGACCUUUUGCCAUUGGAGGGCCCCAAACUCCACCCUCAGAAGGGGCAGAGGCCUGUAGCUUAUUUACACCCAUCCAGAAGGGUGAUUCCCGCACCUUUUUCCCAUCACUUUUCCCCACGUUCCUCACGCCUCACGCUGGCGUCUUUAUCCGUAUCCCAUAAAUACCCAAGCGCCUUGCCUGCUGGGGGUCAGAUUUGAGGUUUGUUCUCCCAUCUCCUCGCUUGGCUGCUUUGCUCGUCAACCCUUUGCAGCAGAUCUCAGUGUCUCAGUGUUUGGUUUGCUUUGCAUCGGGACAAGACAAACUUGGCUCACUACGAAGAAGAGAAAUGGUUGGAUUGCAUUGACAGGUAGGGUGGAGGUGUAGUUUUUUAAUAAUCAACAAAAUGAGCAAUAACUUGUCUUACUCUUGCACAAUGAGUAGGAUUUUGCCAGCAUCUUCAUAGAAUGAAAGGAAGCCUGGCAUUCAUCCCCAAAUCUUUUGAGAUGUAAAUAUAACAAAACUCUAUAGUUCAUGUCUUGAGGCUAGUCUUCCCCGGUAGUGUGUGAAGAGGACUAGAGUUGCAAACAGACGAGUGAUCACAGCAGUUCUGUCACAGGCAGUCAGGAAACCAGACAGGAUAUUUAAGCUAUGGCUAUUGGUAUUGGCAAGAGUUCAGCUCCCAGGAAAAUAAAUACACUGAGUUAGUGGUGGUGAUGAAAGUGACAUAAAUAGAGUGGCCUGUUCCUUUUUGUGCUGUUGCAGGGAAAGGAAGCUUUAAACCUAAUUAGAUGGGAUCUUGUAAACAGCUUAUUCAGUUACUAUCUUCCCUUUAGAUAACUGAGACCUCAUCAUUUGUUUCAUGACAUGUUUCUAGUUACUGACAGUUCUCUAUAGAAAAUUGAUGUAUUUCAAGCUUUAUUCCCAAUUUAUGUAGGAAUGGAAUUUUGAAAAUUUGUUGAGCAAGUGUUUAUUGAGGCUCUGACCUCACUGGUGAAGGAGGGACGGGCCAAUCCUUUGCCUUCAUGGAGUUUAUAGUUCAGCGUAAACAUUGCAUGAUAGUCACCAGACUUUUAGGAGGAAAAAAAAAAAAGGACUAGCAUAAAAAACUAACACUUCUGCCAGGGAAGCAUGUGAAACACUUUACAGAUGAUAUAUGUUGGAGCCCAAACUCCAGUUCAUUGGCAAAAAAAAAAAAAAAAGGUAGUAUUUAUAUUAGAGGUUUGCUAAGAGCAUGUUGGAUAAGAACCUGUGUUCUUUCUCUUCUGGAGCUGCAGGUUGCUUUAAUCUUUGGGCCCCUAUUUCCUCAUCUGUAGAAUUAAUAGGUUAGACCAGAUUGGUGUUUUUCAACUUUGGCUGCCUGUUAGAAUCACCUGUAAAGCUUACCCUUGCCCAGUGGAAUCAGAAUUGUAUUGGAGGAAGAGGCAGGCCUGUAUAUUUUUAAAGCUCCCAGGUGAUACUGUGUUUCUAAAGCCAGGGCUGAAACUCACCAGAUUAGGUUGGCGGUCCCAACUGGAAAUCUCUGGGUGAAUUUUCUAUGUACAUGGGUGUGGAAAAAUUAUCUUUUAAAUUAGUCGUCAACAUUUCUUAACAUUUCCUAAUUUCUCUUAGAAAAACUGAAAGAAUGGGCAACAAUUGAGCCUAUAAUUCUGAGUGGUAAAAAU